rnacentral:tRNA from 1 species
GGCGCGUUGGCGGAGUAGUUACGCAGCAGUCUGCAAAACUGUGUACACGGGUGCAAAUCCCGUACGUGCCUCCA